GACGAACGCUGGCGGCGUGCUUAACACAUGCAAGUCGAACGGAAAGGCCCUGCUUGCGGGGUACUCGAGUGGCGAACGGGUGAGUAACACGCGGGUGAUCUGCCCUCCACUUCGGGUUAAGCCUGGGCAACUGGGUCUAAUACCGGAUAGGUGCCAUUUUGAGCGUGAUGGUUGGAUAGUUUUUUCGGUUUAGGGUGAGCUCGCGGCCUAUCAGCUUGUUGGGGGAGUAAUGGGCUACCAAGGCGGCGACGGGUAGCAGGCCUGUGAGGGUGGACGGCCACCUUGGGACUGAGAUACGGCCCAGACACCGACGGGAGGGAGAUGGGGGAAAGCGUGCACGAGGGGCGCAGGCCUGAUGCAGAGAGGCCGCGGGGGGGAUGACGGCCUUCGUGUUGUAAACUCCGUUCGCUAGGGACGAAGCUUGUUGUGACGGUACCUAGACAAGAAGCACCGGCUAACUACGUG
rnacentral:rRNA from 1 species